UAAGCUUUAAGUUAUAUAAACUAAGAACCUUCCAAGUUCCCCAAAAGAUACCUCUUAAGCUUAA
rnacentral:tRNA from 1 species